GCACAGUCAUCAUCCUGUGUAAGGGCGACGUACCGGAGAUGUCCGACCUACACAAAAUGAUGCUGGGGAAGCCCACCAAGUUGGAGUCACAGUUCCGGCUGACUUACUCCAUGAUCCUGAAUCUGCUGCGCGUGGAACAGCUGAGGGUGGAGGACAUGAUGAAGCGGAGUUUCUCCGAGUUCCACCACCAGAAGGAUGUCAGCAAACACAAGGUCACCAUCGACCAGCUCCACAAACAGAUCGCGCAGAUCCGUCCAAUAGAGUGCUACCUCUGCUCUGUGGACCUGGAGAAGUACCAUGAGAGCUGUAGAGAUUACCAGUGCCUAAGGAGGAAAUUACAGGAGGUAGUGUUGUCUCAUCCUGCAGCCAUAAAAGCCCUAACAGCAGGAAGAGUCAUUGUCAUUAGCAAUAGUUUCCAUAGCAACCAACUGGGGAUCAUUUUGAACUCUACAAUGGCAGCUAACAAUGAGCGGGUUUUCACUUGUCUUGUAUUGUGUGAUAAAAAUAAAUCUGUGAAAUCACAAACAGAGAAAGUGCCAGGCAGUGAGGAGGUUACUCCUGUCACAAAUACAGACCUCUUUUUGCCUGAGGCCCCGUGUGGCCAUGACCUUGUACAGGUCAAGGCCAAGGACAUCAGUACGGUGACAGUGAAGAGUAUACGUGUGGAGGCCAACAAAAUAAUGGACGACAUCAAGAAACGACAGAUGCCCAGAUUCAAGUAGGAUGACAAUAAUAGUUAGCUUCAUUCAUAAACAUGAAUAAUAAUAAUUAUUCAAAUAAUCCCAUUCAUUCAACAAAUAUUAUUGUGCCAUUUAAAACUUCUCAUUUUCCACAUCUUUAAGAUCACACAAAGUCAUUGUGCUUUAAUAUUAAUUUUAAGGUAAGUCUUUUUGGUUACAAACUUCACAGCUCAUAUUGUCCAACACAUGUUAAUAUACAUGUACAAGAUACAUGUAUUAAAUUAAAUCUAAUGUGUUUUCAUGAUUUUUAUUCACAAAUAAAUUGUAUUCAUAUUAUUGAUGUAUGUAAUACAUGUACGGUAUAUUUAUUUUAACACAUUAUACCUGGGUAUAUUUCUUACAAAGAGAUGACCCUCCUGGUAAAUCUGUCACAACUGCUACCCAGGAAUUGCUACGCAUGGUUGAAUCCAACAUCCACGGUCUGGCGGGGCUGGACCCGGUCAAGGACCUUCACCUUCGUGACAUUGACCUUGUGGAGCAGUUCAGGUCUCUACAACUGAUAGAGGACAGCUUUAGGGGCUACCAGUGUAUCAACUGCCCACACUUCACUGAACACUUUAGAGAACAUGACAGAAAUGUGAAACUGAGGGAGGAGUACAAGCACCUGAAGUUCUUGUUGUCAGACGAAAGUCUGAUGCUCCUGCCGGAGUAUGAACAGCGGGUCCAGGUUUUGAAGCACCUGAAUUACAUAGAUGAGAACAAUGCUGUGCAGUUGAAGGGUCGAGUUGCCUGUGAGAUAAGCAACCACGAGAUCAUGAUCACGGAGCUGGUGUUUGAGAACAUCCUGACCGAGCUCCACCCCACUGAAAUCGCGGCCCUUCUCUCCUGUGUUGUGUUUGAACAGAAGAAUUGUAGCGAGCCCAAACUGGCUCCAGAACUUGUCAAGGGAAAAGACUCCAUACUGUCCAUUGCUCAGAAGAUCAGUGCCCACCAGCGGAGGUGUGGAAUGAACCUAGUUGGAGACUACGAGGACGAGUUUAAGUUUGGCCUGAUGGAGGUUGUGUUUGAAUGGGCUCGGGGUCUGCCCUUUGCCGAGAUCACUGGUUUGACUGAUGUACAGGAGGGAAUCAUAGUGAGAUGUAUUCAGAGAUUGCAUGAGACGUUGCGAGAUGUUAGAAAUGCGGCUCGUAUCAUUGGUGACCCUGUCUUGUAUCGUAAAAUGGAAGAAGCCUCACAAAUGAUCAAACGAGACAUUGUAUUUGCAGCAUCGCUCUACACGCAAUAAACAUUGACAUUGCUUUGCAAUUUUUAUCUUUUUUGGUCCCUUUUUUACACUGAAAGUGGAAUAUAUGCAUUUAGGUGUCAUCAUCAGUCUGUCUAUCUGUUCAUCUGUUACUGGUAGUGCCAUUUCACCUGAUGCUGAGUCAAGGACAAAUGUGUUUAUGAUUUUUCAAAGGCUGCCUAUUUAGAAUGCAUUCAGCAUUAUAAAAAAUAUUUUCUAAUUACAGUUGACUGUUCAAAAAUUUUGGAAAACAAAUCCCUUUCCACUUAAUUUUAAAACUAAGAAUAUUCAAUGUGAAUACAAAGAAUCUGUUGUAGUAAGAAAGAAGCACUCUAUUUUCAUAAUAAGAUCAACAUGUCUUGGAUGACUCAAAUAGAUGAUUAAUAAUAAAGAAGAGAUCA
rnacentral:misc_RNA from 1 species